rnacentral:lncRNA from 1 species
UCGGAGUGGGUGGGGCAAAUCCCCCAAAGUGGGCGGGGCCAGCCCAAAAGUGGGCGUGGCCUCAUUGUUAGCCCCUCCCCUUUCCCCCAGGAGCGAUGACGUCAUCCCCGCCCCACGGGAGCCCCGCCCCCUUUCCCAAAUAAAGGCAUUGAUUGGUCGCACUCCUGAAUAUGGAAAUGACGGAGCUUUUAUUGGGGAGGGGCGUGGCCGGGUGGGCGUGGCCAAUGGGCGUGGUCUGGAUGGUGUGGUCAUUGUGGGCGUGGUCAGGGUGGCUGUGGGCGUGGCCAUGAUGGGUGUGGCCACUAUGGGUGUGGUCAGUCUGUGUGUACUAAUUGUGGGCGUGGCCAUGAUGGGUGUGGCCUGGGUGGGUGUGGUCAAUGUGGGCGUGGCCAUGAUGGGUGUGGCCACUAUGGGUGUGGUCAUUGUGGGCGUGGCUUGGGGUGUGGGAGUGGUCAGUGUGGGUGUGGUCAAUGUGGGCGUGGUCUGGUUGGCUGUGGGCGUGGUCUGGGUGGGUGUGAUCAUGUGGAGGUGGGUGUGGCCAAUGUGGGCGUGGUCUGGUUGGGUGUGGGCGUGGUCAGGGUGGAUGUAGGGGUGGGUAAUGUGGGCGUGGUCUGGGUGGGUCCAAUGUGGGCGUGGCCACGGUGGGCGUGGCCAUGGUCUGGGUGGGCGUGGCCUGAGUGGGGCUGGGCUUGCCCCGGGUGGGCGUGUCCUCGGUGGGCGUGUCCCGGGUGGGCGUGUCCCGGGUGGGCGUGUCCCGGGUGGGCGUGUCCCGGGUGGGCGUGGCCUCACUGCCGCUCGUAGAUGAGGCGCAGCAGGCGCAGGCUGGGCCCGUAGCGCUGCUGCUGCCGCUGCGCCGCCUCCCGCCACCUGCGGCACCGGGACCGACCGGUUAGAACCGGUACGGACCGGUUACAGACCAGUACGGACCGGUUACAGACCAGUAUGGACCAGUUAGAGACCGGUAUGGACCAGUAUGGACCGGUUAGAGACCGGUAUGGACCAGUAUGGACCCGUUAGAGACCAGUAUGUACCGGUUAGAGACCGGUAUGGACCUGAAUAGACCGGUAUGGACCGGUUAGAGACCAGUAUGGACCAGUUAGAGACCGGUAUGGACUGGUUAGAGACCGGUAUGGACCAGUAUGGACCGGUUAGAGACCGGUAUGGACCAGUAUGGACUGGUUAGAACCAGUAUGGAUCAGUAUGGACCGGUUAGAGACCAGUAUGAACCAGUAUGGACCGGUUAGAGACCAGUAUGGACUGGUUAGAACCAGUAUGGAUCAG